CACACUGCCCGUCAAGCCAUGGGAGUUGAUUUUACUCGAAAUUAGUGAGCUAACCUUCGGGAGGCAGCUACCUACAGUGAAGUCGAUGACUGGGGUU
rnacentral:rRNA from 1 species